ensembl:lincRNA Platr7 pluripotency associated transcript 7
AGCACUAUUGAAGAGAGCAAGUCAGGGGAGACAUUCCAGCUCAAUUCCAGCUCGGUUUCAUCAUGCUUACAACUACCAGUCAUUCUGAGAGGAGAUAGAAUCUCAUUGUGGCUUGUAUUUGCAUUUCUCUGGGCUAAAGAUGAAAUGAAAACAUAGACGUCGUCAUCAUGAAUAGUCCUCCUGAUCCUGAUUGUCACCGAAAAUAAUUCCCAAGACAGCUGAAGAGGCCUUCGGGUUCAGGCUCCGCCCAUCCAUCCAUCUGCCCCACCCUUCAUUCUUGCUUCGUUUCCAAAGAAGAGAAGGAAGAAGAGAGAAGGGAUUGAGCAGAGGCCUGGGCACGCAUGGGUCCCCUCUGGCAGUGGGCAGAGUCACAGGGCGGAAGCAAGUUGUCUUUCUUCCUGCCCAGCUUCAAAUGCAGCCGGAGAGAGGAGCUAGCUGGGAACUUGAACAUCUGCAGAAAGCCUGGAUACUUCCUUCUGUCUUUCUUCUCCCCUGUGGCAGUCAGGGCAGGGCUUCCUCUUUGCCUGUGCCUGAGCUUCUGGAUGGGGUCAGAGGCUGAGGACUGAAGGCUGCCCAGUGGUGGUGGUGACAAAGUCAGCACUUCCCUUUGUUAGCCUUUGGAUGCUGUGACAAAGCCCCAGAGACCUGACUUGGAGGAGCAAGGUCAAGGUUGGCUAGAUCCGUUGCUUUUAGGUAUGGGAUGAUGCUAAACAUCAGGACACCUGGACCAUCUGGUAGAGGAUGCUGCUGCCGUUGUGGUAGCUAGGAAACAGGAAGACAGGAGGAAGACAGGAGGCAAGAGCAUGCUCUCUGUGAUCGUCUUCUCCAAGCAGUCUGCAUCUCUGAGCUCCUAACACCUCCCCCUAGUGCUGUUGAAUGAUGGGUAUAUCCAUGCAACCACUGAUUAGGUCAGGGCCUCCAUGGCUUGCUCAUCUCUCAACAGUGUCACCAGUUAGGGUCUGCUCCUUCAAUACUGGGACCUUUCAGAGAGCACACGUAGUGACCAUCUUAACACCACCAAAACUUUGCUCUCAUUCCUUCUUGUCUCCAGAGUGCUUGAACCAACAGAGGCAUCAAGGAGUCAUUUCCUGUUACAUAGAAGGGCAUCAUAUUUUCUCAGGAUUUUUCUUUACCCUCAGCUAGUUUUGUAGGCAAAGAUAAUAGCCCUCUGUUUCACUGAGUGCUUCGAUUUCUUUUUAUAUCAUAAGUAGGUUGCUGACACACUAUGUGUUGACUAAUCAUAUCUUUUCUUUUGUGAAUUACAUUCAUGGCUUUAGCUCACUUUGGAGUUUUAAGUUAGAUUUUAAUGUCUUUAAUAAAAAUAUACUCGUCUGC